CACACACACACACAGGAUUGUGUGUUUCAGCAGAGAAAAUGUGUUCAAUGUGUGUGUUCAGGUGUACCUGAGAGUGUGUGUUCAGGUGUACCUGUGAGUGUGUGUUCAGGUGUACCUGAGAGUGUGUGUUCAGGUGUCUGUGUGUUCAGGUGUGUGUGUUCAGGUGUACCUGUGAGUGUGUGUACCUGAGAGUGUGUGUUCAGGUGUCUGUGUGUUCAGGUGUGUGUGUUCAGGUGUACCUGAGAGUGUGUGUUCAGGUGUCUGUGUGUUCAGGUGUGUGUGUUCAGGUGUACCUGUGAGUGUGUGUUCAGGUGUGUGUGUUCAGCUGAGUGUGUGUGUUCAGGUGUACCUGUGAGUGUGUGUUCAGGUGUGUGUGUUCAGGUGUACCUGUG